rnacentral:rRNA from 1 species
GAUGAACGCUAGCGGCAGGCCUAAUACAUGCAAGUCGAACGGUGUCUUCGGACAUAGUGGCGCACGUGUGCGUAACACGUAUGCAACCUACCUUACAUUGGGGGAUAGCCUUUCGAAAGGGAGAUUAAUACCGCAUAAGACAGUAGCUGGGCAUCCAGCAGCUGUUAAAGAUUUAUCGAUGUAAGCUGGGCAUGCGUCCAAUUAGCUAGUUGGUGAGGUAACGGCUCACCAAGGCUAUGAUUGGUAGGGGAACUGAGAGGUCAAUCCCCCACACUGGAACUGAGAUACGGGCCAGACUCCUACGGGAGGCAGCAGUAGGGAAUAUUGGGCAAUGGACGCAAGUCUGACCCAGCCAUGCCGCGUGCAGGAUGAAGGCGUUAUGCGUUGUAAACUGCUUUUAUACAGGAAGAAACGACUCUUGCGAGAGGCAUUGACGGUACUGUAUGAAUAAGCACCGGCUAACUCCGUGCCAGCAGCCGCAGUAAUAC